UGUUAUCUCGGGGAGAUCCCGAU
rnacentral:miRNA from 1 species